GACGAACGCUGGCGGCGUGCUUAACACAUGCAAGUCGAACGGACGAGUGAGAUAAGUUUACUUAACUCACAAGUUAGUGGCGGACGGGUGAGUAACACGUGGAUAAUCUACCUGCAACACCGGGAUAACGCUGUGAAAACGGUGCUAAUACCGGAUACGUUCCCUUGUGCGCAUGUAUGAGGGAAGAAAGCUCAGGCGGUUGCAGAUGAGUCCGCGGCUGAUUAGCUAGUUGGUGAGGUAAAGGCUCACCAAGGCGAUGAUCAGUAGCCGGCCCGAGAGGGUGAACGGCCACACUGGGACUGAGACACGGCCCAGACUCCUACGGGAGGCAGCAGUGGGGAAUCUUCCGCAAUGGGCGCAAGCCUGACGGAGCAACGCCGCGUGGGUGAAGAAGGCCUCGGUUGUAAGCCUGUCUUAUGGAAGAAGUCAGUGACGGUACCAUAGGAGGAAGCCACGGCUAACUACGUGCCAGCAGCCGCCGGUAAAGAGUAGUACA
rnacentral:rRNA from 1 species